AGCAGCCGCGGUAAUUCCAGCUCCAAUAGCGUAUAUUAAAGUUGUUGCAGUUAAAAGCUCGUAGUUGAAUUUCGGGAUCAAUUAAUUGGUCGUGCCUAUGGUACGUACUGAUUUUAUUGGUUUCUCCCUUCUGACGAACCAUGAUGUCAUUAAUUUGGUGUCGUGGAGAAUCAGGACUGUUACUUUGAAAAAAUUAGAGUGUUUAAAGCAGGCUAACGCUUGAAUACAUUAGCAUGGAAUAAUGAAAUAGGACGUUUGAUCCUAUUUUGUUGGUUUCUAGGAUCGACGUAAUGAUUAAUAGGGAUAGUUGGGGGCAUUAGUAUUCAAUUGUCAGAGGUGAAAUUCUUGGAUUUAUUGAAGACUAACUACUGCGAAAGCAUUUGCCAAGGAUGUUUUCAUUAAUCAAGAACGAAAGUUAGGGGAUCGAAGACGAUCAGAUACCGUCGUAGUCUUAACCAUAAACUAUGCCGACUAGGGAUCGGAUGAUGUUAAUUUUUUAAUGACUCAUUCGGCGCCUUAC
rnacentral:misc_RNA from 1 species